UUUAUAAUCAGUCAUCAAAUGUUGACCCUCGAUAAGAAAGGCAAAUAUAGAGCGCAUAUUUCCAUUUCAGAACCUAACAUACGAUAUUACAAGUUAAACCGCUACCUCCACGAUAGAUCUAAGCACAAAAAAAAGGAAAAUAGAUGGAAUUGCUUGGCUCAAAAUGCCAAAAGCAUAUAAAUAAUAAUUUUCACUUAACAGCAUCAUUAAUAGGCAAUUGCAUAUGAAUUAUUAACUUCUAAAAGUCAGUUCUUCUAUCAGCGUGCAGGCUUGCAUGUGCUCAUGUGUCCGCCAAAACAAUUGA